UCUCGAAUCUGUCCAUUUAUCACUGGGAUC
rnacentral:piRNA from 1 species